AUUGAACGCUGGCGGCAGGCUUAACACAUGCAAGUCGAGCGGGGUGAUGGUGCUUGCACUAUCACUUAGCGGCGGACGGGUGAGUAAUGCUUAGGAAUCUGCCUAUUAGUGGGGGACAACAUCUCGAAAGGGAUGCUAAUACCGCAUACGUCCUACGGGAGAAAGCAGGGGAUCACUUGUGACCUUGCGCUAAUAGAUGAGCCUAAGUCGGAUUAGCUAGUUGGUGGGGUAAAGGCCUAACAAGGCGACGAUCUGUAGCGGGUCUGAGAGGAUGAUCCGCCACACUGGGACUGAGACACGGCCCAGACUCCUACGGGAGGCAGCAGUGGGGAAUAUUGGACAAUGGGGGGAACCCUGAUCAAGCCAUGCCGCGUGUGUGAAGAAGGCCUUAUGGUUGUAAAGCACUUUAAGCGAGGAGGAGGCUCUUUUGGUUAAUACCCAAGAUGAGUGGACGUUACUCGCAGAACAAGCACCGGCUAACUCUGUGCCAGCCGCCGCCGUAA
rnacentral:rRNA from 1 species